rnacentral:rRNA from 1 species
UACGUAGGGUGCGAGCGUUAAUCGGAAUUACUGGGCGUAAAGCGUGCGCAGGCGGUUUUGUAAGCCAGAUGUGAAAUCCCCGGGCUUAACCUGGGAAUGGCAUUUGGGACUGCAAGGCUGGAGUUUGGCAGAGGAGACUGGAAUUCCUGGUGUAGCAGUGAAAUGCGUAGAUAUCAGGAGGAACACCGGUGGCGAAGGCGGGUCUCUGGGCUGAUACUGACGCUGAGGAGCGAAAGCGUGGGGAGCGAACAGG